rnacentral:rRNA from 1 species
AAUCAACGCUGGCGGCGUGCCUAACACAUGCAAGUCGAACGCGAAAGUUCCUUCGGGGAUGAGUAGAGUGGCGUCCGGGUGAGUAACGCGUGGGUAAUCUACCUUUGGGUGGGGAAUAACUCAGGGAAACUUGAGCUAAUACCGCAUAAUGCAGCGGCUCGACAUCGAGAUAGUUGUUAAAGCAGCAAUGCGCCUGAAGAGGAGCCUGCGUCUGAUUAGCUAGUUGGUGAGGUAAUGGCUCACCAAGGCUGCGAUCAGUAGCUGGUCUGAGAGGACGGCCAGCCACAAUGGCACUGAAACACGGGCCAUACUCCUACGGGAGGCUG